CAAGCUAUAGUGUAAAGAACAUAUUAUAAUUUCAUUAUAAAGAUACUAUAUAAAUUUGUUAGCUUUA
rnacentral:tRNA from 1 species